GGUCAGCUCUGCGGCGGCGCGCGCACACCUCCCGCUCUCACGCCCUUGCCCGGCCGGGCACUUGUCUUCGCGCUCGGGCCGGGCGCCGGCUCCGGCUGCUGCGGCCGCCUCUGGCCGGUCCUGAGAGGACACAGCAGCUACAGCAGCCCGCGGCUGGGACUGAAGACCCCUGGACAGCAGCUCAGUGACAGAACCCUGCACCCAGGGGCACCUUAGGACGCGGCUGCCAGGGGAGGAGGAACAUGGCAGAUACACCGCAGAACUUGGCCCAGGCGUCGGGUGGCUGAGUCACAUCCCAAAUUGCCUCUUCAUCGGUGCGUUUGGAAGGUCGUUUGCAGCAGCCCUCUGCAGGCCCCCGCCCCCUCUGGGUCCUGUCUGCCAGGCCACCGGCCUCUCCUGCCUGCCUGUGCUCCCCAGCCCAGGUCAGCGCAGGAGCCCAGCCACUGAGCCAUGCCGGGCUCCGGGUGGCCUGCAGGGAGUCCAGCCCCGGCAGCCAGGUGGUCAUGAACGGCCACAGCCACAAUGGUAGCGUGGGGCGGCCGCUGGGCAGCGGGCCAGGUGUUCUGGGCCGAGACCCUCUGGACCCUGAAGCAGGCCGCC